rnacentral:rRNA from 1 species
UACGGGAGGCAGCAGUGGGGAAUAUUGCACAAUGGGCGCAAGCCUGAUGCAGCCAUGCCGCGUGUAUGAAGAAGGCCUUCGGGUUGUAAAGUACUUUCAGUCGUGAGGAAGGUGUUAAGGUUAAUAACCUUAGCAAUUGACGUUAGCGACAGAAGAAGCACCGGCUAACUCCGUGCCAGCAGCCGCGGUAAUACGGAGGGUGCGAGCGUUAAUCGGAAUUACUGGGCGUAAAGGGCACGCAGGCGGUUAAUUAAGUUGGAUGUGAAAUCCCCGGGCUUAACCUGGGAAUGGCAUUCAAGACUGGUUAGCUAGAGUCUUGUAGAGGGGGUAGAAUUCCAUGUGUAGCGGUGAAAUGCGUAGAGAUGUGGAGGAAUACCGGGUGGCGAAGGCGGCCCCUGGGACAAGACUGACGCUCAUGUGCGAAAGCGUGGGGAGCGAAACAGGAUUAGAUACC